UUAAUUUGAGAGUUUGAUCCUGGCUCAGGACGAACGCUGGCGGCGUGCCUAAUACAUGCAAGUCGAACGAACUCUGGUAUUGAUUGGUGCUUGCAUCAUGAUUUACAUUUGAGUGAGUGGCGAACUGGUGAGUAACACGUGGGAAACCUGCCCAGAAGCGGGGGAUAACACCUGGAAACAGAUGCUAAUACCGCAUAACAACUUGGACCGCAUGGUCCGAGUUUGAAAGAUGGCUUCGGCUAUCACUUUUGGAUGGUCCCGCGGCGUAUUAGCUAGAUGGUGGGGUAACGGCUCACCAUGGCAAUGAUACGUAGCCGACCUGAGAGGGUAAUCGGCCACAUUGGGACUGAGACACGGCCCAAACUCCUACGGGAGGCAGCAGUAGGGAAUCUUCCACAAUGGACGAAAGUCUGAUGGAGCAACGCCGCGUGAGUGAAGAAGGGUUUCGGCUCGUAAAACUCUGUUGUUAAAGAAGAACAUAUCUGAGAGUAACUGUUCAGGUAUUGACGGUAUUUAACCAGAAAGCCACGGCUAACUACGUGCCAGCAGCCGCGGUAAUACGUAGGUGGCAAGCGUUGUCCGGAUUUAUUGGGCGUAAAGCGAGCGCAGGCGGUUUUUUAAGUCUGAUGUGAAAGCCUUCGGCUCAACCGAAGAAGUGCAUCGGAAACUGGGAAACUUGAGUGCAGAAGAGGACAGUGGAACUCCAUGUGUAGCGGUGAAAUGCGUAGAUAUAUGGAAGAACACCAGUGGCGAAGGCGGCUGUCUGGUCUGUAACUGACGCUGAGGCUCGAAAGUAUGGGUAGCAAACAGGAUUAGAUACCCUGGUAGUCCAUACCGUAAACGAUGAAUGCUAAGUGUUGGAGGGUUUCCGCCCUUCAGUGCUGCAGCUAACGCAUUAAGCAUUCCGCCUGGGGAGUACGGCCACAAGGCUGAAACUCAAAGGAAUUGACGGGGGCCCGCACAAGCGGUGGAGCAUGUGGUUUAAUUCGAAGCUACGCGAAGAACCUUACCAGGUCUUGACAUACUAUGCAAAUCUAAGAGAUUAGACGUUCCCUUCGGGGACAUGGAUACAGGUGGUGCAUGGUUGUCGUCAGCUCGUGUCGUGAGAUGUUGGGUUAAGUCCCGCAACGAGCGCAACCCUUAUUAUCAGUUGCCAGCAUUAAGUUGGGCACUCUGGUGAGACUGCCGGUGACAAACCGGAGGAAGGUGGGGAUGACGUCAAAUCAUCAUGCCCCUUAUGACCUGGGCUACACACGUGCUACAAUGGAUGGUACAACGAGUUGCGAACUCGCGAGAGUAAGCUAAUCUCUUAAAGCCAUUCUCAGUUCGGAUUGUAGGCUGCAACUCGCCUACAUGAAGUCGGAAUCGCUAGUAAUCGCGGAUCAGCAUGCCGCGGUGAAUACGUUCCCGGGCCUUGUACACACCGCCCGUCACACCAUGAGAGUUUGUAACACCCAAAGUCGGUGGGGUAACCUUUUAGGAACCAGCCGCCUAAGGUGGGACAGAUGAUUAGGGUGAAGUCGUAACAAGGUAGCCGUAGGAGAACCUGCGGCUGGAUCACCUCCUUUCUAAGGAA
rnacentral:rRNA from 2 species